CCUGUUCCUAGAAGCAGCACAGAUGUGACUGCUAUGUCAUGCGUGCAUCAGCAGGGGGCACGGAGGAGAGAGGCCAUGUCUACAUUCAGUGUUCUGACCUAUGGACAUCUGAAUGACUAGAAGCCUAACAUU